rnacentral:misc_RNA from 1 species
GAUGAAGAACGUAGCGAAAUGCGAUAACUAAUGUGAAUUGCAGAAUUCAGUGAAUCAUCGAGUCUUUGAACGCACAUUGCGCCCCCUGGUAUUCCGGGGGGCAUGCCUGUCCGAGCGUCAUUGCUGCCCUCAAGCACGGCUUGUGUGUUGGGCUCCGUCCCCCCGGGGGACGGGCCCGAAAGGCAGCGGCGGCACCGCGUCCGGUCCUCGAGCGUAUGGGGCUUUGUCACCCGCUCUGUAGGCCCGGCCGGCGCUUGCCGAUCAACCCAAAUUUUUUAUCCAGGUUGACCUCGGAUCAGGUAGGGAUACCCGCUGAACUUAAGCAUAUCAAUAAGCGGAGGA